UGCGUAGGCGGACUAAUAAGUCAGUGGUGAAAUCUCUCGGCUCAACCGGGAAACUGCCAUUGAUACUGUUAGUCUUGAGUUCGGUUGAGGUAGGCGGAAUGUGUAAUGUAGCGGUGAAAUGCUUAGAUAUUACACAGAACACCAAUUGCGUAGGCAGCUUACUAGACCGACACUGACGCUGAGGCACGAAAGCGUGGGGAGCGAACCGGAUUAGAUACCCGAGUAGUCC
rnacentral:rRNA from 1 species